rnacentral:rRNA from 1 species
CAAUAGCGUAUAUUAAAGUUGUUGCAGUUAAAAAGCUCGUAGUUGAACUUGUGCGUGCCCCUGAUGUCCUUUUUGGUACGUUUGGGGGUGUGCAUCCUUGGGUGGAAUCUGUGUGGCAUUAGGUUGUCGUGCAGGGGAUGCUCAUCGUUUACUGUGAAAAAAUUAGAGUGUUCAAAGCAGGCUUAUGCCGUUGAAUAUAUUAGCAUGGAAUAAUAAGAUAGGACCUCGGUACUAUUUUGUUGGUUUGCGCACUGAGGUAAUGAUUAACAGGGACAGUUGGGGGUAUUCGUAUUCCAUUGUCAGAGGUGAAAUUCUUGGAUUUCUGGAAGACGAACUACUGCGAAAGCAUUUACCAAGGAUGUUUNCAUUAA